rnacentral:rRNA from 1 species
AUUGAACGCUGGCGGCAUGCCUUACACAUGCAAGUCGAACGGCAGCACGGGAGCAAUCCUGGUGGCGAGUGGCGAACGGGUGAGUAAUAUAUCGGAACGUGCCCAGUCGUGGGGAUAACGUAGCGAAAGCUACGCUAAUACCGCAUGCGAUCUAUGGAUGAAAGCGGGGGAUCGCAAGACCUCGCGCGAUUGGAGCGGCCGAUAUCAGAUUAGGUAGUUGGUGAGGUAAAGGCUCACCAAGCCGACGAUCUGUAGCUGGUCUGAGAGGACGACCAGCCACACUGGGACUGAGACACGGCCCAGACUCCUACGGGAGGCAGCAGUGGGGAAUUUUGGACAAUGGGCGCAAGCCUGAUCCAGCAAUGCCGCGUGCAGGAUGAAGG